rnacentral:rRNA from 1 species
UACGAAGGGGACUAGCGUUGUUCGGAAUUACUGGGCGUAAAGCGCACGUAGGCGGAUUUGUUAGUCAGGGGUGAAAUCCCGGGGCUCAACCUCGGAACUGCCUUUGAUACUGCAAAUCUCGAGUCCGAUAGAGGUGGGUGGAAUUCCUAGUGUAGAGGUGAAAUUCGUAGAUAUUAGGAAGAACACCGGUGGCGAAGGCGGCCCACUGGAUCGGUACUGACGCUGAGGUGCGAAAGCUAGGGGAGCAAACGGG